AUUGAACGCUGGCGGCAGGCCUAACACAUGCAAGUCGAACGGUAACAGGAAGAAGCUUGCUUCUUUGCUGACGAGUGGCGGACGGGUGAGUAAUGUCUGGGAAACUGCCUGAUGGAGGGGGAUAACUACUGGAAACGGUAGCUAAUACCGCAUAACGUCGCAAGACCAAAGAGGGGGACCUUCGGGCUUCUUGCCAUCGGAUGUGCCCAGAUGGGAUUAGCUAGUAGGUGGGGUAACGGCUCACCUAGGCGACGAUCCCUAGCUGGUCUGAGAGGAUGACCAGCCACACUGGAACUGAGACACGGUCCAGACUCCUACGGGAGGCAGCAGUGGGGAAUAUUGCACAAUGGGCGCAAGCCUGAUGCAGCCAUGCCGCGUGUAUGAAGAAGGCCUUCGGGUUGUAAAGUACUUUCAGCGGGGAGGAAGGGAGUAAAGUUAAUACCUUUACUCAUUGACGUUACCCGCAGAAGAAGCACCGGCUAACUCCGUG
rnacentral:rRNA from 1 species